CUCUUGUGAGGACCGUCGGUCUACCGAGCAAUAUCACCCGCUCGGUGGAAGAUCUUUCCUUCCGUCGU
rnacentral:pre_miRNA from 1 species